UUGACCCUGGAGUGUUUGUCAGCGGAUCCACGUCCCUGAGCCGAUAAGCAAACCUAAGGAUGAGUUGUUAUAAGCUAUUGAGCAAGCUCGGCUCGUACCGAGAAGCCUACGGUUUAUUCUUCUUAUCCGCCUUGAACCGCAGGGUUCAAGGGCUGACGAUCCCAACGGCACUCCGGGGCCCCU
rfam:Enterovibrio pacificus strain CAIM 1920 contig037, whole genome shotgun sequence.